rnacentral:rRNA from 1 species
AUGGUUGCGGCGGGGCCUCGGUUGCCCUGCUCAUGUGUGGGGAACCCAGGAUCUGGAGCGGCGGCUCCAUUGACAAGGCAUGGCCGGCUAAUAGCCAUGCGGGUGGUGGAUCCGGUGUCCCGGCCGCGCGGGCGGCCGGAUCCGGUGGUCGUUGGCGUCCGACGGCGGCUUCUGCGGCGGUCGGUGGAGGUCGUCGGCUGGCGUCGUGGUGGUGUCAAUGGCGGAGGACCUGCCAAGGCUCGCGAGAGGUUCCACCGUAUCAAUCCAGAGAUAAGAGAGGAGUGGAUGCAGGAGGCUCCUCAGCGAUUAGAGCUUCUCGGCCGUCCGAUCGUUUUCUUGAUUGCGCUCUGGCCGUUGGAUCUCGGGCUCGGUCGUCGUGGGCCGUCGGAUAUUUACCCGGUCGUCUCCAACCAUCUGCUCCUCACGGCCGCAAGCGCUCGCGCGCGACCCAUCCCCGCUGCUAGGGCUUCGGCUGCCCCCAACUCUGGUGAGGUGAGCUCUCCUCUUCCCUCUCCUCUCCCCUUCUUUCUUAUCUUCCCGCCCCACUCAAUUUCUUCGAUUCGGUGCAGCAGCCACCCUCCUCCAUGGACGAGGAUGACCACCACGGCCGCACAUGGUCGAGCUCACCGUCGUUUCCUCCGGUGUGGUGAUGGGCCAACGAGCUCCGCCUCCACGGCUCCUAGCUCGGCUUCUGUUCUCCAUGGACGAAUCUCAACUGGAAACAACAAGCCAUCUCAAGGGAGGGGAUUGUCAAGUCACCCCACUUCCAAUCCAUGGAUGCUAUCCACAAGGACCAAGAUGAUGAUGACCAGGAUGGAAGGAGCCCACGCCCGACCCCGACGACGGCGGUUUCAUUUGUGUGCCGGCGUCGACCACAACCUCCCUCUCUGUAAUAUGUACAUCACUAACCCAGUCAGUGGUUAUGAAUUUCGCUCUCUGAAGGACGUGCAACGUUAUAUUGAAUCAGGGGACACAACUUGCAUGUUUGUGUGGGCUGGAAAUGUAAAAGACAGUAAAGUUGUCCACGCGUUGGACCUGAUGGGAGCCCCGGCCAAACCACUCCACCAUCUGCUCCUCACGGCCGCAAGCGCUCGCGCGCGACCCAUCCCCGCUGCUAGGGCUUCGGCUGCCCCCAACUCUGGUGAGGUGAGCUCUCCUCUUCCCUCUCCUCUCCCCUUCUUUCUUAUCUUCCCGCCCCACUCAAUUUCUUCGAUUCGGUGCAGCAGCCACCCUCCUCCAUGGACGAGGACGACCACCACGGCCGCACAUGGUCGAGCUCACCGUCGUUUCCUCCGGUGCGGUGAUGGGCCAACGAGCUCCGCCUCCACGGCUCCUAGCUCGGCUUCUGUUCUCCAUGGACGAAUCUCAACUGGAAACAGCAAGCCAUCUCAAGGGAGGGGAUUGUCAAGUCACCCCACUUCCAAUCCAUGGAUGCUAUCCACAAGGACCAAGAUGAUGACGACCAGGAUGGAAGGAGCCCACGCCCGACCCCGACGACGGCGGUUUCAUUUGUGUGCCGGCGUCGACCACAACCUCCCUCUCUGUAAUAUGUACAUCACUAACCCAGUCAGUGGUUAUGAAUUUUGCUCUCUGAAGGACGUGCAAUGUUAUAUUGAAUCAGGGGACACAAGUAAAUGCAAUGUUAGGCCAAAGAAGAGAACUGCCCAGGAUACUUGUAUUACACAGAAUCAAGAUUAUAGCUUCUGCCCGUGUGUUUAUUUCAUACCACAUUCAAAGUUAAAUGUACCUGCGACGCCUCUUUUGGGACUGCUCGUGACGACCAUUCUGUGUUAUCCUGACAUGGCUUGCUAUGCUGUUGCGUCCGUGCAACUCUCUGUAGAAAAGACAGUAAAGUUGUCCACGCGUUGGACCCGAUGGGAGCCCCGGCCAAACCACUCCACCGCAGUUCAAUACCUGUCGCAGAUGAUCCAGACACUGUCGUUUCCAAAGAGAACUCCCAAUGCGGUCGUGAAGAAGCUGUCAUGCCCUGCACCGCUGCCGGAUCAGGGAUGGAGCGAACUAAAAUCCAGAAAUAAGAGAGGAGUGGAUGCAGGAGGCUCCUCAGCGAUUAGAGCUUCUCGGCCGUCCGAUCAUUUUCUUGAUUGCGUUCUGGCCGUUGGAUCUCGGGCUCGGUCGUCGUGGGCCGUCGGAUAUUUACCCGGUCGUCUCCAACCGUCCGAUAUUUUCCCUAUGAGCCGUGUCCCGCCCGGCCGUGCCACCGCGCAUCUGCUCCUCACGGCCGCAAGCGCUCGCGCGCGACCCAUCCCCGCUGCUAGGGCUUCGGCUGCCCCCAACUCUGGUGAGGUGAGCUCUCCUCUUCCCUCUCCUCUCCCCUUCUUUCUUAUCUUCCCGCCCCACUCAAUUUCUUCGAUUCGGUGCAGCAGCCACCCUCCUCCAUGGACGAGGACGACCACCACGGCCGCACAUGGUCGAGCUCACCGUCGUUUCCUCCGGUGCGGUGAUGGGCCAACGAGCUCCGCCUCCACGGCUCCUAGCUCGGCUUCUGUUCUCCAUGGACGAAUCUCAACUGGAAACAGCAAGCCAUCUCAAGGGAGGGGAUUGUCAAGUCACCCCACUUCCAAUCCAUGGAUGCUAUCCACAAGGACCAAGAUGAUGACGACCAGGAUGGAAGGAGCCCACGCCCGACCCCGACGACGGCGGUUUCAUUUGUGUGCCGGCGUCGACCACAACCUCCCUCUCUGUAAUAUGUACAUCACUAACCCAGUCAGUGGUUAUGAAUUUCGCUCUCUGAAGGACGUGCAACGUUAUAUUGAAUCAGGGGACACAAGUAAAUGCAAUGUUAGGCCAAAGAAGAGAACUGCCCAGGAUGCUUGUAUUACACAGAAUCAAGAUUAUAGCUUCUGCCCGUGUGUUUAUUUCACACCACAUUCAAAGUUAAAUGUACCUGCGACGCCUCUUUUGGGACUGCUCGUGACGACCAUUCUGUGUUAUCCUGACAUGGCUUGCUAUGCUGUUGCGUCCGUGCAACUCUCUGUAGAAAAGACAGUAAAGUUGUCCACGCGUUGGACCCGAUGGGAGCCCCGACCAAACCACUCCACCGCAGUUCAAUACCUAUCGCAGAUGAUCCAGACGCUGUUGUUUCCAAAGAGAACUCCCAAUGCGGUCGUGAAGAAGCUGUCAUGCCCUGCACCGCUGCCGGAUCAGGGAUGGAGCGAACUAAAAUCCAGAAAUAAGAGAGGAGUGGAUGCAGGAGGCUCCUCAGCGAUUAGAGCUUCUCGGCCGUCCGAUCGUUUUCUUGAUUGCGUUCUGGCCGUUGGAUCUCGGGCUCGGUCGUCGUGGGCCGUCGGAUAUUUACCCGGUCAUCUCCAACCGUCCGACAUUUUCCCUAUGAGCCGUGUCCCGCCAGGCCGUGCCACCGCGCAUCUGCUCCUCACGGCCGCAAGCGCUCGCGCGCGACCCAUCCCCGCUGCUAGGGCUUCGGCUGCCCCCAACUCUGGUGAGGUGAGCUCUCCUCUUCCCUCUCCUCUCCCCUUCUUUCUUAUCUUCCCGCCCCACUCAAUUUCUUCGAUUCGGUGCAGCAGCCACCCUCCUCCAUGGACGAGGACGACCACCACGGCCGCACAUGGUCGAGCUCACCGUCGUUUCCUCCGGUGCGGUGAUGGGCCAACGAGCUCCGCCUCCACGGCUCCUAGCUCGGCUUCUGUUCUCCAUGGACGAAUCUCAACUGGAAACAGCAAGCCAUCUCAAGGGAGGGGAUUGUCAAGUCACCCCACUUCCAAUCCAUGGAUGCUAUCCACAAGGACCAAGAUGAUGACGACCAGGAUGGAAGGAGCCCACGCCCGACCCCGACGACGGCGGUUUCAUUUGUGUGCCGGCGUCGACCACAACCUCCCUCUCUGUAAUAUGUACAUCACUAACCCAGUCAGUGGUUAUGAAUUUUGCUCUCUGAAGGACGUGCAAUGUUAUAUUGAAUCAGGGGACACAAGUAAAUGCAAUGUUAGGCCAAAGAAGAGAACUGCCCAGGAUGCUUGUAUUACACAGAAUCAAGAUUAUAGCUUCUGCCCGUGUGUUUAUUUCAUACCACAUUCAAAGUUAAAUGUACCUGCGACGCCUCUUUUGGGACUGCUCGUGACGACCAUUCUGUGUUAUCCUGACAUGGCUUGCUAUGCUGUUGCGUCCGUGCAACUCUCUGUAGAAAAGACAGUAAAGUUGUCCACGCGUUGGACCCGAUGGGAGCCCCGGCCAAACCACUCCACCGCAGUUCAAUACCUGUCGCAGAUGAUCCAGACGCUGUCGUUUCCAAAGAGAACUCCCAAUGCGGUCGUGAAGAAGCUGUCAUGCCCUGCACCGCUGCCGGAUCAGGGAUGGAGCGAACUAAAAUCCAGAAAUAAGAGAGGAGUGGAUGCAGGAGGCUCCUCAGCGAUUAGAGCUUCUCGGCCGUCCGAUCGUUUUCUUGAUUGCGUUCUGGCCGUUGGAUCUCGGGCUCGGUCGUCGUGGGCCGUCGGAUAUUUACCCGGUCGUCUCCAACCUUCCGAUAUUUUCCCUAUGAGCCGUGUCCCGCCCGGCCGUGCCACCGCGCAUCUGCUCCUCACGGCCGCAAGCGCUCGCGCGCGACCCAUCCCCGCUGCUAGGGCUUCGGCUGCCCCCAACUCUGGUGAGGUGAGCUCUCCUCUUCCCUCUCCUCUCCCCUUCUUUCUUAUCUUCCCGCCCCACUCAAUUUCUUCGAUUCGGUGCAGCAGCCACCCUCCUCCAUGGACGAGGACGACCACCACGGCCGCACAUGGUCGAGCUCACCGUCGUUUCCUCCGGUGCGGUGAUGGGCCAACGAGCUCCGCCUCCACGGCUCCUAGCUCGGCUUCUGUUCUCCAUGGACGAAUCUCAACUGGAAACAGCAAGCCAUCUCAAGGGAGGGGAUUGUCAAGUCACCCCACUUCCAAUCCAUGGAUGCUAUCCACAAGGACCAAGAUGAUGACGACCAGGAUGGAAGGAGCCCACGCCCGACCCCGACGACGGCGGUUUCAUUUGUGUGCCGGCGUCGACCACAACCUCCCUCUCUGUAAUAUGUACAUCACUAACCCAGUCAGUGGUUAUGAAUUUUGCUCUCUGAAGGACGUGCAAUGUUAUAUUGAAUCAGGGGACACAAGUAAAUGCAAUGUUAGGCCAAAGAAGAGAACUGCCCAGGAUGCUUGUAUUACACAGAAUCAAGAUUAUAGCUUCUGCCCGUGUGUUUAUUUCACACCACAUUCAAAGUUAAAUGUACCUGCGACGCCUCUUUUGGGACUGCUCGUGACGACCAUUCUGUGUUAUCCUGACAUGGCUUGCUAUGCUGUUGCGUCCGUGCAACUCUCUGUAGAAAAGACAGUAAAGUUGUCCACGCGUUGGACCCGAUGGGAGCCCCGACCAAACCACUCCACCGCAGUUCAAUACCUGUCGCAGAUGAUCCAGACGCUGUUGUUUCCAAAGAGAACUCCCAAUGCGGUCGUGAAGAAGCUGUCAUGCCCUGCACCGCUGCCGGAUCAAGGAUGGAGCGAACUAAAACACUUCGCUGUUACAACUAGCUCUCCCUGUUCCAUGAAUCGACAGAGAGGAGUGUGUAGUGUUGUUGGUCAAGCUAUGUAUAUCUGCUCCUCCUUUGGAUUGGUUGGGUCUGCACCUGUUGCUGUUUUGGAUUGGCUGGGUCUGCAGCUGCUGCUCCUUUGGAUUGACCUCUAUUUGGUUUAUGCAUUCCAUUUUUCUAGAUAUCAGGGCUCAGGCAACACUUUAGCCUAUGAACCGAGAUGUGCCGCCGCCCAGUCGUCGUGUACACACUGCGCAGCCUCCGCCACCCGAUCGAUCGGCCUACAUCUAGCAAAGGUGAGGCCUCUCCUCCUUUUCGUGCAUUUUCAUGGGCUACGUGGUGCUAAUUGUGGUGUGCUGCAGCAGUUGAGACCGGGUAGGACGAGGAGGAAGCAUAGAGGGAGACUGCGGGACGAAGAGGAGAUCUCGGUCAGCAUGCAACCUACACACCAACACCAUCCCAGCUCGUGUGCCGACUCGAGGUUGGAGAUCUUCUCCUCUCCCCUCCUCCUGCACGUACCUUUUCUUGGGGCUGCCAUCGUGUCUGUUCUGGUCUGUGCAACAAGCUGGGUCUGUGCUGGGUGUGCCCAGUUUUCAAUGCAUUGCGAUGCCUGUUCAGCCAGUUUUGUAGCCGCCAAGGGAAGUACAAAGAUGGCGUCGAGGCUUGGGCGUGUGGCCGUCGACGUGGAGCAGGCAGAGGAGGAGCGACUACUACCCCAACGGCAGCCUCUCCUCCCUUGUCCACGGUACUUUUACCUGUCAUGGAAUUUGAAUAUAAUUUUGUUUGUUGGUGCUCCUGGGUAUAUUUACAUGAAUCUGAAGGUGGUGAUGAUUCAGCUGACCAGUAGGUUUUUCUUCUGUGUUCAGAGAAGAAAGAAGCUGGUUGCUGCUAAUAUUACUAUCCUCUUAGGACAUGCAAAGCACAACAACCAACAGCAGACGACACCUCCAAAGCUAGACAUGGCAAGGUUUCGUGAGGCGCGUGUCAGAGGGUUGGAAGAGGAAGCGGCGCAGGCACCGUGGAUGACGUUGCAGUUGGUGGAUGGUGGCAUCAUACUGGCGUGCGGCACGGGCGUGGAUGAGCUCUGCCGCCGUCCUGUAAUGUGGGUGUUGGCCCAGUUCAUGAGAAGAUGCCCAGAUUGUUCUGCAGAGCAGCAGCCCAAUCAUGUGGGCCUGCUAGCUGGCAUGAAGUUAGGCAGCCGGAAGCCGAGCUGUGGUGCGGAAGGAGCUGGGAGAUCUAGUCCGCCCAUUAGUGAAACGAACGGCUUAAGACAUCUAAUCACUGUGCACCAGUACAGGAUGUUGCUGUGGGAGAAACACUUGGGCGGGCUGGCUGAGGUGCUGAAGGCGCCAGAGUCAUUGAAGUGCAUGAGGCUGGUGAACCAGGUGGCGCGGGAGAACUGGGAGAGGUACACCGACGAGGGGAAGGUGGUAGAGGAGAUGCAGGGGCCACCUGAUGAGGUAUCCGGUGGACGUGGACGACGACGGCAACGUGUGGUCGCUGACGAGGCUCGAGUUCAUCCCCGACGUCGGCGGCAGGGUCCUAGACUCCACCAACAAGUUUCCCGAUCAUCUCACCAUGUAGCCUUCCUACUGACCCUUUGA